rnacentral:rRNA from 1 species
UCCAGACUCCUACGGGAGGCAGCAGUGGGGAAUAUUGCACAAUGGGGGAAACCCUGAUGCAGCGACGCCGCGUGAGUGAAGAAGUAUUUCGGUAUGUAAAGCUCUAUCAGCAGGGAAUAGAAAAGAAGGUACCUGAAAAAGAAGCCCCGGCUAACUACGUGCCAGCAGCCGCGGUAAUACGUAUGGUGCAAGCGUUAUCCGGAUUUACUGGGCGUAAAGGGAGCGCAGGCGGCGCGCCAAGUCUGAUGUGAAACCCCGGGGCUCAACCCCGGGCAUGCAUUGGAAACUGGCGGGCUGGAGUGCCGGAGAGGUAAGCGGAAUUCCUAGUGUAGCGGUGAAAUGCGUAGAUAUUAGGAGGAACACCAGUGGCGAAGGCGGCUUACUGGACGGCAACUGACGCUGAGGCUCGAAAGCGUGGGGAGCAAACAGGAUUAGAUACCCGAGUAAA